rnacentral:misc_RNA from 1 species
UAAUAAGUGUUUUAUGGCACUUUUAAAAAAUCCAUAUCCACCUUGUGUGAAAUGUCUGUCGCUUUCUAGCUUUCUUUCUUCGGAAAGAAAAGAGGCGACUCUACAUCAACUCUACUUUAAAUACUUUGUCUGAAAACUAUUAUGAAUAAACUAAUUCAAAAUA